CUGGAAAGGUGGUGGCUUAAUAUCCCUGCAUGCUCAAGUCAGCUUGUUCACCCACAACAUGGGAAGCAGUGCAAACUUCCCUGUACUGCCCUGCCAAUGUGCAUCAACUCUGAUCUGGAGGGGUGAGCUCUGCAGGUGAGAGGUUAGGUCAUCCCCCAAGCUCAUUCACUCCUUCCCCUGU
rnacentral:sRNA from 1 species